rnacentral:piRNA from 1 species
UUGGCUACCUGACAAUAGGAGAUGGUUCUGU